rfam:Brachypodium distachyon strain Bd21 chromosome 1, whole genome shotgun sequence.
UCUAUACUCCCUCCGUCCAACAAAAGAUGACUCAAGUUUGUCAAAAUUUGGAUUCUAGAUGUGACUUAGUGUAUAUAGAUGCAUUCAAAUUUAAUCAAAGUUGAGACAUCCUUUGUUGGAGGGAGAGAGUACAUU